rnacentral:rRNA from 1 species
UACGUAGGUGGCAAGCGUUGUCCGGAUUUACUGGGCGUAAAGGGUGUGCAGGCGGGCUGUUAAGUGGUGUAUGAAAUAUCCCGGCUCAACCGGGAAGGGUUAUGCCAGACUGGCAGUCUAGAGAGCGAGAGAGGGACGUGGAAUUCCGGGUGUAGUGGUGAAAUGCGUAGAGAUCCGGAGGAACCCCAGAGGCGAAGGCGGCGUCCUGGCUCGCAUCUGACGCUCAGACACGACAGCAUGGGGAGCGAACGGG